rnacentral:rRNA from 1 species
UGGGGAAUUUUGCACAAUGGGGGAAACCCUGAUGCAGCGACGCCGCGUGAUUUAGAAGGCCUUCGGGUUGUAAAAAUCUUUUCUAUGGGAAGAAAAUGACAGUACCAUAGGAAUAAGGACCGGCUAAUUACGUGCCAGCAGCCGCGGUAAUACGUAAGGUCCGAGCGUUGUCCGGAAUCAUUGGGCGUAAAGGGUACGUAGGCGGGUAAGCAAGUUAGAAGUGAAAUCCUAUAGCUCAACUAUAGUAAGCUUUUAAAACUGCUCAUCUUGAGUUAUGGAAGGGAAAGUAGAAUUCCUAGUGUAGCGGUGAAAUGCGCAGAUAUUAGGAGGAAUACCGGUGGCGAAGGCGACUUUCUGGCCAUAACCUGACGCUGAGGUACGAAAGCGUGGGUAGCAAACAGG